rnacentral:rRNA from 1 species
GAUGAACGCUGGCGGCGUGCCUAAUACAUGCAAGUCGAGCGAAUGGAUUAAGAGCUUGCUCUUAUGAAGUUAGCGGCGGACGGGUGAGUAACACGUGGGUAACCUGCCCAUAAGACUGGGAUAACUCCGGGAAACCGGGGCUAAUACCGGAUAACAUUUUGAACCGCAUGGUUCGAAAUUGAAAGGCGGCUUCGGCUGUCACUUAUGGAUGGACCCGCGUCGCAUUAGCUAGUUGGUGAGGUAACGGCUCACCAAGGCAACGAUGCGUAGCCGACCUGAGAGGGUGAUCGGCCACACUGGGACUGAGACACGGCCCAGACUCCUACGGGAGGCAGCAGUAGGGAAUCUUCCGCAAUGGACGAAAGUCUGACGGAGCAACGCCGCGCGAGUGAUGAAGGCUUUCGGGUCGUAAAACUCUGUUGUUAGGGAGGAACAAGUGCUAGUUGAAUAAGCUGGCACCUUGACGGUACCUAACCAGAAAGCCACGGCUAACUACGUGCCAGCCGCCGCGGUAA